rnacentral:rRNA from 1 species
CGAGUUGAAGCGGCAAAAGCUCAAAUUUGAAAUCUGGCUCUUUCAGAGUCCGAGUUGUAAUUUGAAGAAGGUAUCUUUGGGUCUGGCUCUUGUCUAUGUUUCUUGGAACAGAACGUCACAGAGGGUGAGAAUCCCGUGCGAUGAGAUGAUCCAGGCCUAUGUAAAGUUCCUUCGAAGAGUCGAGUUGUUUGGGAAUGCAGCUCUAAGUGGGUGGUAAAUUCCAUCUAAAGCUAAAUAUUGGCGAGAGACCGAUAGCGAACAAGUACAGUGAUGGAAAGAUGAAAAGAACUUUGAAAAGAGAGUGAAAAAGUACGUGAAAUUGUUGAAAGGGAAGGGCUUGAGAUCAGACUUGGUAUUUUGUAUGUUACUUCUUCGGGGGUGGCCUCUACAGUUUAUCGGGCCAGCAUCAGUUUGGGCGGUAGGAGAAUUGCGUUGGAAUGUGGCACGGCUUCGGUUGUGUGUUAUAGCCUUCGUCGAUACUGCCAGCCUAGACUGAGGACUGCGGUUUAUACCUAGGAUGUUGGCAUAAUGAUCUUAAGUCGCCCGUCUUGAAACACGGACCAA